CAGCAGCCGCGGUAAUACGUAGGGUGCGAGCGUUAAUCGGAAUUACUGGGCGUAAAGCGUGCGCAGGCGGUUGUGUAAGACAGGUGUGAAAUCCCCGGGCUUAACCUGGGAACUGCGCUUGUGACUGCACAGCUAGAGUAUGGCAGAGGGGGGUGGAAUUCCACGUGUAGCAGUGAAAUGCGUAGAGGUGUGGAGGAACACCGAUGGCGAAGGCAGCCCCCUGGGCCAAUACUGACGCUCAUGCACGAAAGCGUGGGGAGCAAACAGGAUUAGAUACCCGUGUAGUCCCUGUCUCUUAUAC
rnacentral:rRNA from 1 species